AGUGAACGCUGGCGGUAGGCCUAACACAUGCAAGUCGAACGGCAGCACAGUAAGAGCUUGCUCUUACGGGUGGCGAGUGGCGGACGGGUGAGGAAUACAUCGGAAUCUACUUUUUCGUGGGGGAUAACGUAGGGAAACUUACGCUAAUACCGCAUACGACCUACGGGUGAAAGCAUGGGAUCUUCGGACCUUGCGCGAUUGAAUGAGCCGAUGUCGGAUUAGCUAGUUGGCGGGGUAAAGGCCCACCAAGGCGACGAUCCGUAGCUGGUCUGAGAGGAUGAUCAGCCACACUGGAACUGAGACACGGUCCAGACUCCUACGGGAGGCAGCAGUGGGGAAUAUUGGGCAAUGGGCGCAAGCCUGAUCCAGCCAUACCGCGUGGGUGAAGAAGGCCUUCGGGUUGUAAAGCCCUUUUGUUGGGAAAGAAAAGCAGCAGGUUAAUACCCCGCUGUUCUGACGGUACCCAAAGAAUAAGCACCGGCUAACUUCGUG
rnacentral:rRNA from 1 species